GGCACAGUGCCAGAGUGGUUAAUGGGUAUGACUCGAAUUCUCCGAUAUCAUAUGGCUUCGGCCGCGUAGGUUCAAAUCCUGCCUGUGUCG
rfam:Pyrenochaeta sp. DS3sAY3a unplaced genomic scaffold IQ07scaffold_3, whole genome shotgun sequence.